GAUGAACGCUGGCGGCGUGCUUAACACAUGCAAGUCGAACGAGUCAGUCUUCGGAUUGGCGAGUGGCGGACGGGUGCGUAACACGUAGGUGACCUACCCUAAAGUGGGGAAUAACUCCGCUAACGCGGAGCUAAUACCGCAUGUGGUUGCUCAUUCAUUUGGGUAACUAAAGUCGUAAGGCGCUUUAGGAUGGGCCUGCGGCCGAUUAGCUAGUUGGUGGGGUAAAGGCCUACCAAGGCGAUGAUCGGUAGGGGGCGUGAGAGCGUGGCCCCCCACAUUGGCACUGAGACACGGGCCAAACUCCUACGGGAGGCAGCAGUGAGGAAUAUUGCACAAUGGGGGAAACCCUGAUGCAGCAACGCCGCGUGAGGGACGAAGGCCUUCGGGUCGUAAACCUCUUUUCUGAGGGACGAGACAAGGACGGUACCUCAGGAAUAAGUCUCGGCUAACUACGUGCCAGCAGCCGCGGUAAAACGUAGGAGGCGAGCGUUAUCCGGAUUUACUGGGCGUAAAGCGCGCGCAGGCGGCUUGGUAAGUUGGACGUGAAAGCUCCUGGCUUAACUAGGAGAGGCCGUUCGAAACUGCCAGGCUUGAGGUUGGGAGAGGGGUGCGGAAUUCCCGGUGUAGUGGUGGAAUGCGUAGAUAUCGGGAGGAACACCAGUGGCGAAGGCGGCACCCUGGCCCACACCUGACGCUGAGGUGCGAAAGCGUGGGGAGUAAACAGGAUUAGAUACCCUGGUAAUCCACGCCGUAAACGAUGUCAACUGGGUGUCGGUGGUGUUACACUAUCGGUGCCGAAGCAAACGCGUUAAGUUGACCGCCUGGGGACUACGGCCGCAAGGCUA
rnacentral:rRNA from 1 species